rnacentral:rRNA from 1 species
GACGAACGCUGGCGGCGUGCUUAACACAUGCAAGUCGAACGGAAAGGCCCUGCUUUUGUGGUGCUCUCGAGUGGCGAACGGGCGUGUAACACGGGUGUAACCCCCCCUUCACUUGGGGAUAACUUCGGGAAACGGGGGCUUAUACCGUAGAGCAGUUCUGGCGGCGUGGUGGGGGUUAGAAAAUUUCGGCGGUUGGGUAUGGUCUCGCGGUUUAUCCGCUUUGUGGUGGGGUAGGGGCUUACAAAGGCUUUGAGGGGUAGCCGGCCUGAGAGGGUAACCGGCCACAUUGGGACUGAGAUACGGCCCAGACUCCUACGGGAGGCAGCAGUGGGGAAUAUUGCACAAUGGGCGGAAGCCUGAUGCAGCAACGCCGCGUGCGGGAUGACGGCCUUCGGGUUGUAAACCGCUUUCGCCUGUGACGAAGCGUGAGUGACGGUAAUGGGUAAAGAAGCACCGGCUAACUACGUG